rnacentral:rRNA from 1 species
AGACCCGAAACCCGGUGAUCUAGCCAUGGGCAGGUUGAAGGUUGGGUAACACUAACUGGAGGACCGAACCGACUAAUGUUGAAAAAUUAGCGGAUGACCUGUGGCUGGGGGUGAAAGGCCAAUCAAACCGGGAGAUAGCUGGUUCUCCCCGAAAGCUAUUUAGGUAGCGCCUCGUGAAUUCAUCUCCGGGGGUAGAGCACUGUUUCGGCUAGGGGGCCAUCCCGGCUUACCAACCCGAUGCAAACUGCGAAUACCGGAGAAUGUUAUCACGGGAGACACACGGCGGGUGCUAACGUCCGUCGUGAAGAGGGAAACAACCCAGACCGCCAGCUAAGGUCCCAAAGUCAUGGUUAAGUGGGAAACGAUGUGGGAAGGCCCAGACAGCCAGGAUGUUGGCUUAGAAGCAGCCAUCAUUUAAAGAAAGCGUAAUAGCUCACUGGUCGAGUCGGCCUGCGCGGAAGAUGUAACGGGGCUAAACCAUGCACCGAAGCUGCGGCAGCGACGCUUAUGCGUUGUUGGGUAGGGGAGCGUUCUGUAAGCCUGUGAAGGUGGCCUGUGAGGGUUGCUGGAGGUAUCAGAAGUGCGAAUGCUGACAUAAGUAACGAUAAAGCGGGUGAAAAGCCCGCUCGCCGGAAGACCAAGGGUUCCUGUCCAACGUUAAUCGGGGCAGGGUGAGUCGACCCCUAAGGCGAGGCCGAAAG